CCUACGGGUGGCAGCAGUGAGGAAUAUUGGUCAAUGGACGAGAGUCUGAACCAGCCAAGUAGCGUGAAGGAUGACUGCCCUAUGGGUUGUAAACUUCUUUUAUAUGGGAAUAAAAUGUUCCACGUGUGGGAUUUUGUAUGUACCAUAUGAAUAAGGAUCGGCUAACUCCGUGCCAGCAGCCGCGGUAAUACGGAGGAUCUGAGCGUUAUCCGGAUUUAUUGGGUUUAAAGGGAGCGUAGGUGGAUUGUUAAGUCAGUUGUGAAAGUUUGCGGCUCAACCGUAAAAUUGCAGUUGAAACUGGCCGUCUUGAGUACAGUAGAGGUGGGCGGAAUUCGUGGUGUAGCGGUGAAAUGCUUAGAUAUCACGAAGAACUCCGAUUGCGAAGGCAGCUCACUGGACUGCAACUGACACUGAGGCUCGAAAGUGUGGGUAUCGAACAGGAUUAGAUACCCCGGUAGUC
rnacentral:rRNA from 1 species